UAGUGGUUCAUAGAUGGGACCUGUGGUCUGCAAAAUGGAUCUGCGGUUUGCAAAGUAGACCGCAGACUAUCCCCUCAAGUUUGAAAUUUCUGGAAGGAUUUACCGGAUACAUUUCCUGGUUCGUAGAAUUGUUCUGCAAUAUGUAGAAAUGCUCACAGGAUGCUCUCUUAGGCCAACAUCUAUCAACUUUUUGCCCACCUGGAUUCAAUUUUUGUGUCUCACAAAACCAUUCUACAGUCUGUAGAAUGGGACACAGAUCAUGCUAUCUAUAGAUAGGAAAUUCUGAGGAGAGAGAAAAUAAAUUUCAUAUUUUGGCUCGGGAAUUCAAUUUUAGGGAGAAGGAAAAGCUAUUCCCACUAACCAACACCAAAUGUAAGUCUCUUAGUGGGUUUUCAAUUUUUCCAUACCAAUACCCUUAGAUUCUAAUACUUUAACGAAUUCAAAUUGUAGGAACUCAUCUAAAAGUUCAAAAAAUUGCUAUCACUCAACCUAGGGCUUCAAACGCAAAAGGUUGGUCUUCUCAGUCAAAGUAAAGACAUCAAGUACCAGUCGGCCUUAUUAAGGAUUUGGGGCGUGAUAAAAUGCUAUAAUAAGCUAUGAAAGAUGUUGUUCUACUCCAGUAAACGAGACUGCAAUAUACCCUCAUCUUUGGAAAAGCUGCACAACAGAUUUGGAUGCCUUUUGGAAGACCACUUGGUAUCACUCAAUAUCAAGGCACAAUCAGGUACUUAAUCAAUUUAUGGUGGACUCAGAGUUACCACUAAUGCAGUUCAUAAAAAGGUGUCACAAAUUGUUCCCUUAUUCAUAUGCUGGGAGAUUUGGAAGCAAUAUUGUGAGUGAAAAUAUGGAGAGAAAAGGAAAUUCAGAGUUUUCAUUAUGAUUCAACAAGCUGCAAGGAGUAUUCUAAGAGCAAUCUCACAGGCUUUUACUACAGCUUGACAUUACCCUGAAUCUAUUGUUGUGAUACUCUUACAAGGUUGAAACCACGUCCCAAGAAAACCAUUGUGUGCUGGAAUUUGUCUAGUGUGAGUUGUUUGAAGCUGAACACAGAUGGGAGCUUUAUCUAUGCAAGUGUAAAAGCUGAAAUAUGAUGGGUAUUGAGAGAUGAUAAGGGUGAACAUUUUAUUGCCUUCUCAUUGCUUGUGCAGUGUGGCAACAACUUGAAGGCAGAAACUAUGACUGCAAGAUAUGGUUUGCACAUGUGUAUAUCUUUGAACUACAUAAACUUCACCCUUAAGGUAGAGUCCCUAUCUAUUUUUUCAGAUGAUCAAUGACAAAAAAUGCGAUAGCUACAAGCUAAACUGGACCAUUGAGGAGAUACAACAGCUAAAGAAACUUGGUAAUGUCACAACAGAACACUGUUAUAGAGAGGUCAAUAAGGUUGCAGACUAUCUUGUCAAAUUAGCCUCGACCAGAAUGAAUCCCUUUAUGACUCCUAUAAGCAUCUUCCUGUGGGGGCUAAAUGUCCACUCCAACUGGAAAAGAGCCAGAUGCCUUCUAUGAGGCUCAAAUAUGACAAAGCUAAUUUUGUUUGUUAGUUAGUUGUAUAGGUAGUUCUUCUUUUUGAGGGUCAAGAUGUUUUUAUUAGCUUCCCCUUCCCUGUUCUUGUGAAGGAUACAAGUUUUUAUCCUUUGUUGUGUUCAGAGGUAAGACCAAGUCCAAAGCCUUUCUGACUCGGCCUGGCCCGGUCGGUAAUUUCCUUCUGAUAAAUAACCCCUUGACAUGAAAAAACUUUAUAAAAAAUGUUGCAUAUAUAUCACAUGUUGAUUUUUUAAAGUCUUGUAGCGUUCUAUGUAUGAAGGAAUCUACAAUGCAUAUUGACUGAAA